rnacentral:rRNA from 1 species
GAUGAACGCUGGCGGCGUGCCUAAUACAUGCAAGUCGAGCGAACAGACGAGGAGCUUGCUCCACUGACGUUAGCGGCGGAAGGGUGAGUAACACGUGGAUAACCUACCUAUAAGACUGGGAUAAAUUCGGGAAACCGGAGCUAAUACCGGAUAAUAUAUUGAACCGCAUGGUUCAAUAGUGAAAGACGGUUUUGCUGUCACUUAUAGAUGGAUCCGCGCCGCAUUAGCUAGUUGGUAAGGUAACGGCUUACCAAGGCAACGAUGCGUAGCCGACCUGAGAGGGUGAUCGGCCACACUGGAACUGAGACACGGUCCAGACUCCUACGGGAGGCAGCAGUAGGGAAUCUUCCGCAAUGGGCGAAAGCCUGACGGAGCAACGCCGCGUGAGUGAUGAAGGUCUUCGGAUCGUAAAACUCUGUUAUUAGGGAAGAACAAAUGUGUAAGUAACUAUGCACGUCUUGACGGUACCUUAUCAGAAAGCCACGGCUAACUACGUG